rnacentral:rRNA from 1 species
UACGGAGGGUGCAAGCGUUAAUCGGAAUUACUGGGCGUAAAGCGUACGUAGGCGGCUUGUUAAGCAAGAUGUGAAAUCCCCGGGCUCAACCUGGGAAUGGCAUUUUGAACUGGCAGGCUCGAGUUCUGAAGAGGGUGGUAGAAUUUCCAGUGUAGCGGUGAAAUGCGUAGAUAUUGGAAGGAAUACCGGUGGCGAAGGCGGCCACCUGGUCAGAAACUGACGCUGAGGUACGAAAGCGUGGGGAGCAAACGGG